GACGAACGCUGGCGGCGUGCCUAAUACAUGCAAGUUGAGCGCUGAAGGUUGGUACUUGUACCAACUGGAUGAGCAGCGCACGGGUGAGUAACGCGUGGGGAAUCUGCCUUUGAGCGGGGGACAACAUUUGGAAACGAAUGCUAAUACCGCAUAAAAACUUUAAACACAAUUUUUAAGUUUGAAAGAUGCAAUUUCUUCACUCAAAGAUGAUCCCGCGUUGUAUUAGCUAGUUGGUGAGGUAAAGGCUCAACAAGGCGAUGGUACAUAGGCGACCUGAGAGGGGGAUAGGCAAAAAUGGGAAUGAGACAAGGCAAAAAAGAAUAAGGGAGGCAGCAGGAGGGAAACAUGGGAAAAGGAAGAAAGACAGAACGAGAAAAGCCGAGGGAGGGAAGAAGGAUGUCGGAACGUAAAAAACGGUUGGUAGAGAAGAAAGUGGGUGAGAGUGGAAAGCUCAUCAAGUGACGGUAACUAAAAAGAAAGGGACGGCUAACUACGUA
rnacentral:rRNA from 1 species